AAAGGAUUUGGGUACGUGAAUGGCUGAAGAGAUGUGGUCGUUAUGGGAUGUCCAUCCUUCAUCAGGAGCUUGAGGUAACGUUAAUGUAAGCUAUAUAUUGUUUACUCAGGGCCGGAGCGGG